GAAACCAGUGAGCCACCCACCAAAGAGUGAUCGCCAAUAGUUUCCUUCCAUCCAUGGCAUGCAUCAACACCCUCCAGAGUUGCUCCAUUGCCAGAGGGGCAAAGAUCAACACAGGAACUAGGAGAAGUGCUGCAAAGCGAUCACCAACCUUUCAGUGCAGAGCGUCGACUUUCGUUGACGCCAGCGUCCGGCUUGAGCUUGACGAGAACCCUGAGGCGAUCAUCUCAGGCGAGUGGCCUGAGAACUCCUUCCUUCUCAGCUACGAUGAUCUCCGUGCCUACCUUGAGUCACAGGAGGCUGUCCAAGAAGGAGAUCAGGUACUUGAUCUGGAACUCUUAAAGCUGUCAUUGUUAUCUGUCUUGAUCUCCUUCAGCUCUAGCUGAACUCUGAGCGGUGAAUACAGCGCGUGGCUCUCUUGAGUGAGACCAUGUCAACACCUGUGCUAGUGGCCACAGCAGAGCAGACACUAGAGGAGGUCGAAUGCCACUUUGAGGCCGUGUCAGGGCUUCCAGUCGUAGACAGCAGCCUCAGAUGUGUUGGGGUAGUCGUCAAGAAUGACCGGGCCAAAGCUUCCCAUGGGGUCAGCUCUCCCUUCCCCUCUUUCUCACUCUCUCUCACACAACUUGGGCGCAAGCACACACAUAACAAGUUGCUAGUUUCAUACAAGAGCGAAGGAGAAAAUCCAUUCCGUCUACUGAUCUAUUGCUGCUUGUAACAGCCACAAACAAAGAUUGAAGAAGUAAUGACCUCUCCAGCCAUCACACUAGCAUCAGAUAAAACAGUGAUGGGUAAUUGUUGUUUUCAUAUCACCUUUUUCUUUCCACGUAUGCUUUAAGUUAGAUCUAAGAGUACAUGUGUAACAUCUACAGAUGCUGCGGUUCUGAUGCUCAAGAAGAAGAUCCACAGAGUACCAAUUGUAAAUCAGGAUGAACAAGUAAUAGGUGAGUUUCAGAAUGGCGAACAGUUAAGAGACAAAAGGACUGCAUGUAUGCAUACUUGAUUUGUAUUAUCCUUAACAUUGGUAACUUUGCAAGCUUAAUGGGUUCGACACACUAUCAACAGGUAUAAUUACCCGUGCUGAUGUUCUUCGCGAGUUGGAAGGCCUGCUGAAGAUUUAGAAGGGCAGCAGUCCAUGCUCAGAAGCCAAAACUUCUUGUAAAUAUGUCCAUGGUGCUUUUGAGUGGCAGCAGGCAGAUCUACAAUCAGUAGGAGUGCGCUCCAGAAUCGGCAGAAAUAAGCCCGGAAGAGUUUGAGAUCUUUUCCUUGUAAAAGUACCACACCAGGAAACUUACUCUCUGUGUUGCACUGCUUGCGCUACCAAAUGUUGCAAACUAGUCAAAUAUUUCCAGAGCAAUAUAAAUAGAUAUGCUUAAAAUAAUCUUUCAGUAGAAAUAUGCCAACGAUGGAAGAGAAGUGAGAAAAAUGUGAGUUAAUGCACAUGCCAAGUCAAAAAUACUUCAGAGAAAUAAGUAACUGAAUCUGAGGAGGAUUAAAAGAACAUACUCAUUCUGUAUGCCAGUCCAGUUUGAAACUGCAUAAAUCAGGAGAGUUCCCUUUGAUCUUCUCCGGAAGCAACAGCAGCAGCACUAACAACCAUUGGAGUAGAACGUGUGGGUUUUUGUGAAUCAGAAACAACUUUCAUCUCCAGGUUUGGAAUUACUGGUGGCUUUGUCCUCCGAGUAACAGUCAUUUUCAACCCCUCAGUUGUGUGAAUUGUUGCUCCAGUUGUCAUGUCAACCUAUCAUAUUGAUCAUAAAUAAUGGAUACAGUAUUAACUAUAACGAAUCAGAAACUGGUAGAGGCAUACCGGAGGUGCUCCUGGAGCCAUCUGAAAGUCAAAUCGCUUGACAAGCAUUGCUGUUGCCACCACAUUCUGCAAUGACCCAGUAUGCCUAUGUUAUUUUGAGUUCAAUGUCGUGCAAGCUCUACUGUGAUCAUUCUGUUGCUAAUAUAAUGAAAUGAGAUAUUGGGCUUGCAAAAGCUUGAAAUAAAGAAAGAAACCAGGUAUAAAAAUCUAAAAAAAGUUACCUCAAAAGUGGCAAACAUGUCACCAGCACAUUUCCUUGGUCCACCACCAAAUGGUAAGUAACUGAAAAUCCAAGAGAUUGCGUGAAUCCCACAGUGAUUAAACCAAUCCUCAGGCAUUAAUCAACAUGGUGGUAGGCAACAGGUAUAAUCAGCCACUAAAAGGAAAUAUACGCUCUUAAAAGGAAAUUUAAGUAUUCCCACCCUGUUGCCCUAAGCUAAUAAAAUAGUGACACAGAAUCUCAAUCAACAGGCCAUUGUACGUGGUUUCACGCCCAUCGUGUAGUGGUUGCUCUUGCAACGAUAGGUUCAGAUCAACUCGGUCCAUGCACUUGGUUAGCACUGUCGUUUCGUGCUGUCGCAGAACAGAAUCGAUGUGCGGGUGGAAGGUUUAAACUGCUUGCCUGAAGCGAAUGAGUCACAUCCUGGUUUGCCUGUCAUUUCCGAUUAUCUCAUGAAAUUGAUCUAUCUCUGUCCCAUUUGUUCUACUACCAUUGAAUCGUUGUGUUCUGGUCACCAUCGCUGUUGAUCUGCUUGCGUUACGUGAUGAUUAUUUAUUCCCAAAACGCAUGGCAUGUGUUUUCCAGUUCCAUACCGUUGCUUGUAGAUCAUUGCUGAACUUGUGUUUUCCAGUUCUGCACCUCUGCUUGUAUGAAGUUGCAGUGAAUAUUUUGAACUUCCUGCAUGAAGUGAGUGGGUGGGAUGACUUAUUCUGAUGUGCUUGUGCCUUCUGGUUUAACUCAUGAAUUAUUCCAUUUAUGUCCAACGAGUUGUAUUCUGGAAUUGAACAAGGUGUUCUAGCCAGUACUCUUGCUCUGCUUUCAUGAAGCUAAUAUAAAAUACUGAAAUGCAUGCCUUGUGUGUUCAAAUCUUACCCACUUGGUUGUACGAUGUAGCAUGACUGAAUGAUCACUCUUAUCUCUAUGGUGAUCUGUUGUGCAUGGACAUUCUGUCCUAAAUUGAAUGUUGUGUUUGUUCUCAGUUGAAUAAUAGGAAGGUUGAUCGAUGCCUGUCUCUAGCAUUCUGGUACCAACUUGGGAGUGUAAAAGAAAAGGUUCUCUCUAAUUUUUUGCAACUAAAGUUUCUGUGGAACUAAAUCUUACCUUAAUUAUAACCAUGUAAUGGAUAUGAUCUUAUCUUGCUCUUAAGUUUGAGUAUAAUUCAGCUUCAGACUGCUUUGGCUUCCAGUUUUAAAUGAACAAGGGAAUAGCAGUUCAUUCUCUGAAUAAGUUCUGCGUGUUUCAGUGCAUGAGUUGGCAACAAGUCACGAUACUACAAAAAUUGCUCCAUUGUGCUGUUUAGCAUAAUUUUGUCAUAGUAAGAUGGGUAACUGGAUACAACAAUUCCAUGCAGAAGGACACAACUAAUUCAGUCUUCUCUUUCUUCUAUGUUUUGGAUACAGAAACAUACAGUUUCUUCUCCUAUUUUCCACCCUUUUGAAUUCAUAUAUUGUAUGACUGAUAUUUGCGGUGAGCAAAUCGUCAUCUCUUUUUUUCUAGAAUACGCAGGAGAAUUGCGUAUCAUUCCAUUAAGAAGAGAAUGAAAAUGUUUUUUUACUACGCGGGCCAACCGGGCGCACGCACACGGGUACAAAAUUCGAGACUCCCCUUACAUGUUAUUACAAGAGCACCCUAGGAAAGAAAAUCCUGGAGAAUAGUCUCCUAGCUAGUAGUAGCUACAUGCUACCCGAGAGCUGUGAGGUAACGCGCCCCUGCUGCACACCAGAGAAGGGCUUCUUCAGUUAUCGCCCUGGUUAGUUGCGUUGGGGUUUUUUCCGUCGCCCUAGCGAAGACUCGAUCGUUCCUUUCCUUCCAAAUCUUCCAAGAGACCAACAUGAAAGUUGAAUCGAGGCCUCUUGUCCUGAUGGUGUUGAGUCUGCUUCGCUUCUGUAUCCACCAUUCCAUCAGAGAGUCAUUCAGGGCCGGUGGGACGUUCUGAAUGCCUAUUAUUUAGCUGACGGCCAACCACACCUGUUGAGUGUAGGUGCAUCGUGCAAGGAGGUGGUCUGCCGUUUCAGGCUCCUGUCCACAGAGUGCACAAUCGUCGCUAUUCUGGAGCAAAUCGUCAUCUCGAAAGAUAAACAUUACAUAAGCAGUGGCAAAACCUACAUGCUAGGAGGAAGUGUAUUGGUAUCACAUGAGAACUGAGUGAUUACUGUUUUUGGAUAAAUAAUACUGCCUGCGGUCAUUAAAACUUGUGAUUCGAAGACAUUGCUGCGCCAACAUCUCGCUGGAUGCGCCUAUCUAGCGGUUCAGUUCUACUGCCUCCUUUCUGACUAAUGUCCUAGUGGUUGCUUCGUACUCGCAUUAUCUCGGAUCGAUAGGUUCAGAUGGACUCUACAAAGCCUUUUCAUUUCCUCCUGUCGAAGAACAGAAUCGAAUGUGUGGUGGAAGUUUUGACUUGCCUGCUAUUUCUGAUCAGUCUCUCUGUUGGCUAUUGCAUAUGUUCUAGUACUGUCUUGAUCAAAAGUGUCUACUAUUUAAUCUAGCUCUCUUAUCUGCUUGCAUGAGCUGAGUGCUUGUCACAUAUGCUCAGUACAUGCAAGUGGUGGUAGCAUGAUUACCACCAUUUGUAAUCAUGUACUGAGCAUAUGUGACAGUUGUGUCAACUCAACGGCUUGACUGCUAUCACCUGGAUUCCUCAGGACAUGGUUUGGCAUGGCCUCUGUCCCUCGUCAGAGUAAGUUCACAGAAUGGCAUGCAGGCAAUUGCUAUAAUAAACGUGUUAAGAUUUGUCAUCAAAAGUUAGAUCAGGGCAAGAAAAUGAUGCGAACUGAACCCUUGCCUCCCACCGUUGGGUGUUGGCCGAAAAAAUAGGAGACAGUGUCACAAAACAAUGCAAAAAAUAACACAAUGUCAUUACAGAAUAACUUCCCAUGACAUUCACUGCAGAACUCCUAUAACAAGUUACCUUGCCUUGCUAUGACAAAUUAUGCUCAAAACAGCACAAAUGUUUACCAACACACAUGUUUCAGGUCAGCACCAUUUUUGCCAGCUCAUGUACUGAAGAACGCAGAACACAUUCUGGAACUGAACUUGCUAUUCCUCUGUCAAAGUUCAUACAUGAAACCAAGCAACAAGCAUAGUCGGAGUAUACUCUAGCAUAUGAUAAAUAAAAUUUGCAUCCUGGUGAGAAGUAAGAUUUAAGAGUUUGUGACAACCAUAUCUUUUGGAGAAAGCUAAGACGACGUGCCGGACACAUGCCACAAUCAGUACCAGAAUUUUUCAGAGACAAACACGUGGCAACCGUUCAAUGAGUGCAUCCAACUUAGAAUAAAAUGUUCACUUCAUCUUCAUGCAAGCCGACCAAUGCAGAGAUAUAGUAAGAUGUAAGCAUGCAACCAGCCUACACAAAUUGAAUUGCACUGAACAUUCAUGACAUAUUUUUUUUCGAGAACGUGCAACGCACGUAUUUCAUUAAGAGAAGGGGAAGCGACCCAAAACGAAACACAAUACCGAAUUACAGCGAGCUGGCUAUCACCUGGGCACAAGUUUGCGACCCCACCAGCAUGCAAGAAAGAAAGAGCUAAAGAAAAAGAGUACAAGGGCGAGCAGAACCCCAUCAAAGUUCAGUCUACGUUCAUUAGCCAUUGUGAACAUUUGCGACUAGUCCGGCGUUGCACCACCAUCCCAGUUCUUCACGGAUCCUGUCAGCCAGCUGCAACGGCUGCCUUGUGGUUGUUCUGAAGAUCCUGUCAUUCAUUUCAUUCCAAAGUCGCCAGGAUGUCAGCGCGAAGAGAGAAUCCAACCUUCUUCUAGACGAUUUGUCAAUACGUUUCCUUGCCGACAGCCACCAAACAAUGGUGGUGGAUUGGGCUUCUGGGGUGAGCACCUGCCAUCCCAAUAUUCAUGACAUACAUUUCAGAAUAAUUAUAUAUGCAGCCCACGCGAGCAGAUCAUCACUACUUGCCAGAACACCUUGAUCAAGUGUAGUAGAAGACUUCAUCCAGGACAAAAAAAAAGAGAGAAAGGGGUCGGUAAUGCAUAUAACGGAAUACUGCAGCACAAGUAUAAUCUUAUGGCAGGUUGCAAUCAGUGUCAAGUGUCAACCCACAUGAUGACUAUAUAUGUAUACAAGAAAACAGAACAAACAGAGAAGUUCUCAUGCCAUGCUGCAUUUGUGUUGAAUUUCUUUACCUAGCUGCCCCUCAUAUUAAAAUACAAUGAUCAAUUUGUGCUUAAGGCAGCAAUGCAACAUACGUAUUCCAAGUUGACACAAGUUUUGGUUUGCUCUCCAUUCAUCUUCUGGAGAAUACAGAACAUAUUCUGGGUUUGGAAUGCUUUCCCCCAAGUUCAAUUAAUAACUGAAGCAAGUUUGCAUGACUUGUGCUAAAAAAUAAUGACAAGACUAGAUCCUUAUCCAUUACACCCCUGCUGAUGAUUAAGAGCUUAGUUGCUACAGAACCAGUUAAGAGAGAAGCAAGGCUUGCUUGUAUGAUAGACAUGGCAAAACCAUCACCACAAUACUCCUAUUGUUAACUGGAACUGAACUAUCACAGCCUGCAACUUAAAUCAACUUAGAUCUGAACAGGAGCACCAAGUUCAUGAUAAAAGUGUUCAGUGCAACAUCAUAUAAGCAGAACUGCAGAGAUUGAGCAAUCAUGCUGCAUUGCUGCAACCAAUCGCACAAAAAUAAUCAACUGAACAACAUGUCAUUCAUUUUGGGAGUGGAAAACACUUCAUGCAAGCGGAUCAAGAGUGCUAGCUAGUUGUGCAUGGACAUUCUGUCCUAAAUUCCAACGCAAAACGGCAUUCGAGAUUGAAAAUCAAUGACUAAAAAAGAAGCAGGGUUUUUUUUUUGCCUCCAUCGUGCAGAGGCAUUUGAAAUUCGAAAACUAAAAACUUUUUUGCCACAAUCGUAUAGAGGCAUUCCAAAUGGAGGAGGGAAAAGGCGUAAAGCCAAACAACCAGACCAUUUCACCUAUACUACUCGACUAUAAAAUAAUAGCCUCCCCACCCACCUAGCCCAUCCUCAUCUAGUCAUCUGAGUUUCUGAUGCUUGCGCUUCCUUUGCUAGUAGUAGCAGCGAGUUGCCACAGCCCACAGCCGAGAGCCAACAAUGAAUCAAGCGCAGAUUGCCGCCACCAUCGCCCUCGCUGGCGGUGCCGGAACUGCAGAUGUCGAGGCUGCCGCUGUCGCUACUGGAACCGCAGACGCCGCCGCCGUCACCCAAGCUCUUACCACCGCACGAACUUUAGCUGCUAAGCAACUUGGUAAGCUGUUGGUUCCUUCCUGAAAUGAGAUCCUGAUUUGGUUGCUCGUUCUUUCUGUUGUUCCUCUUGAUUCGGGUUUUUUUUUGCCUCUGAUCUGUUGUUCCUCUUGUUUGGGGUUUUGCCUCCCUGUAAACCCUUUCUCCAUCUAUUUUGUAGUUCGGGAGCAGUUCUCGCUCGCCGUGGCUCAGGUAACUACUUGUCGUUCUUUCAAAGUUCUAGACUUGGUAGGGUUUUCUUCAAAACGGUCCUGAAUCCAUUGUUUUUUGUGAAAUUUUGUUCUUUUCUAGACCAAGUCUGUCCUCAAUUCUCUUCAGGUCGUGCUCAUGCUCAUGCUAUACCCAUGUGUGAUCGCCUUCACCUUAGCUACCCGCUACACAAAGUAUGGUCUGCUCAUACCCACCCCCAACGUGCCCGGCGGCGCCCCUCCCUCCCCUGAGCUUGCCUGUUCCCGGCAGAACUAGUGGCUGACCACUUCCCAGGAAGCCCUCUGGUUUCACCGGAAUCUUUUUCAGCACCGUCACCAUGAUUCACAUCUUCUUGGUGAUUUACAUAACCCUCAAAGGCCCUCGCGAGUCGCCUAGAAUGUCGCACGCCUUCGCUUGGUUUGCCAUCGAGGAUGUCGCACACCUUCGCUUGGUUUGCCCUGAUGUCAUUCUGGUUUUGUAUCGGUGUUUACUUCUUCGUGUUCACAAUCUUAGCAAGAUGAGUUGCUGUUGCAUAUACUUUUCUCUCCAUUUUCUUUUUUUUUAUUAGGGGUCUUUGUUUUCUCGUUAGUUUACUACUAAUGAAUAAUGAUUUGUCUAUGUAGAUAUGGAGUCGCCUGGCAGGAGUGAGUGCUUUUCGCAGCAUUCACAUUGGGGCUGUUUUUUGUCACUACAACUUUCAUCUAUGUAAGUUAUUCUUUCGUAAAAAUGUUCUCAUAUUGUGAUGAAAUUGGUUAUCAUUACCGCCUUCUCACUUCCGGAUGGUAGAACCAACCUACGAUGAAGUCCAAACUCUUAUGAUCCCAGGUGAUAGAUCCAACCUUCGAUGGAUCACAAUUUAUGCACUAAGUACUUAGAAACUAUAUAGCCCAACCGGAAGACUAAUACUUAUAAGAAAUAGAACUUUAUUACAACACAACAAUAUUAUACAAGAGUGCACAACACCCUCUCUUUAGUGGCUAGCCUAACAUUCAUCCUUUACUUCUACCAUACUCCACUCAUCUACCAUGCUCAUGGUUGAAUGGCAUGGUAAGGAAGGGGAUCUCUAUUUAUAGGCGAAGGGAGUUCAUAGGAUGAUGACAUGUGCCUCCUUCUAGAGUUUUCACUAGAAAAAUAUCUAUAUUCUACGCUAUUCUAAUUUCUUCAUGGCAACAACAUCUAGUGGCUUCAUGAAAAAUAUCAUGGAUCAUGAGUUGUGGGGAAGACUCUAGAAAUUUGUAUUGCUUUCCUUCAACACACCCUUUUAAAUUCAUAUAUUGUAUGACUGAUACUUGCGGUGACUGUUGGGGCUAUUUUUUGCCACUGCAAUUUUCAUAAGUUAUUCUUUCACAAAAAUGUUCUCAUAUUUCUAUGAAAUUGGUUGUUAUUACCGUCUAAUUGUGGAUUUUGGUUGAUUUCCAGGUGGCCAUUUCGCUAGCGAAGGUGGUACUUCCCGCUCCUCCUGCUUUAGUGCUCGUGGAAGAAGAAGGCCAGGCGGACUAGGCAGGAAGGUGAAGGGUGAAUAAUAUGGAGCCAUGAUACUUCUGUAGUAGCUGUAGUUCCUCAGUGUUAUUGGUGAACAAGAAGGUGAAGACAUUCUGAAUAUGUAGCAGUAGUAGAGUUGGUUGAUGUUCUUUCGAGAGUAGCAGUGGUAGAGUUGGUUCUGAAUAAGUAGCAGUAGUACUCAGAUGUAGCAGUGGAACGGUGAGGAGCAAACAAUUAUGAUUCAUACUCUGUCUCUACUUGAGUGUUUUUUGAGUAGAUCAUGCCAGUCUCUUUUUUUUCCAAUUGUAUUUUAGUGCGUUCCAUAGUUCCAUCUGGUCUAAUGGUUCCAGUGCUUGCGUCACAAACGGCUUGCCAUCGAACUUGACAUGACAAUAAAUAUUUACAAACACAACUCGUAUCGGAGUUGGUUAUCAUAUCCCACGGGUCAACCUUCUUCUUUAACUAAUCUUUUCUCCGGCCCACUUUAGACCCAUACUGGCCAAGCCGCUCCAGCUCCCAAUCGGCCAAUCCUUGCUGACUCCUUUUGCCAAUCGGCCAAAACACUGUAGCUUCAAUCGGCCGAUUCCCAACUGUAGCUUUUAGCUUGCCGCGUCGGCCAAUCUUUUCCGUCCUUGACGCCGAUUCAAAAUAUGUGUCAAAAUCCGGCGUCAACAGAUGCAUUCAUACAAAUAUCCUAUACUUUUAGUCUACAGUAAUGCACUACAUAAUAUAAUGGUUUGUGCGUGCGAAAGAUUCGGUGAAGCUAAAUUUUAUAAUGCAUAAGCCUACUACUAUGUUGCUCUUAUCUCUCAGUAUAACUCAAAUACAGACUAUGCAUGGUUUGCAGUUUGAAAUGAACUGGGCAGUAAACAUUUCAAUCCCUGAAUAUGCUCUGCAUAUUUUUUUUAGAUGAUGAUGUUCUGCAUCUUUCAUUACAUGAGUCGGAAACAAGUCAUGAUAUUAAAAAAAUGUGUUGCAUUCUACUAUUUUAACAAAGCUUUUGUCAUGGUAAGGUGGUUAACUGGUUACAAAAUUUCAUGCAGAAUGACAUGGCAACUGAUUUUGUUCCUUCUGAGUUUUGGAUUAAGAGACAUACAGUAUAAUUCUCCUAUCCUUUUCUCCUUUAAUUUCAUAUGGUGUGAAUGUGACAUGUGCUUUGAGUAAAUCGUAAUCUCGAAUGCUAAAACACUAUAAGUAUAUAAACAAUCACAUAGCAUACAUGAUACUAGUGAUAAUAUUGCAUUUUUCUUGGGAGGAAGUCUACUAGUACGAUUGAGAACUGACUCUGUUGAAUGGGUGUUCGCAUCAUGUGGGUGUGACACAGUCACUGCGAAAUACUAUGAGAUUAAACCUGCGUUGCCUGCAUUAAUUUUUAGCAUAAUUACAUUAGAUGAACUCUGGACGGAAUGUAUAAGGAUCCUAUCUUGUCAUUUCAGUUUCAUGGAUGAAUUGAACAGAGGAUUUGAGUGUUGGGUCCCGGAGUGCGCUCGGAGAUGAUGAGUUUUAGAAACAUGGUGCUACCCUGGAACUUAUGUGUUGGACUUGUAAGUGUUGCAUUGCGUUAUUUUGAGCGUAAUUUUUGUGAUAGCAAGACGAGUAACUUGUUAUAGAAAUUCUACGGUGAAAGGCAUGAGAAAUUGCUCUGUUUCUAAACCAUGCAGUGUGUGACUGCUCUGCGGUAUGAGAAAUUGCAAAAAUGGGCCGAGAGAAGCCCAUCAGCGGCCCCAGAAAUGAAGCUCGUUUGAGUUGGGCCCACUGUUCGGAGCGAAAAAGCAAAUCCGUUCGGGAAAUGGGAUUGGCUGGUGCCAGCCAGGCAGCCAGGCCUCGUCUCGCUCUGACCCGAAGCCGUGAAGCGCGGCUGCGCGGGUUAGUAUAAAGCGGCGCCACCGCUGGCCCCGGCUCGAUCAUUCCCGUCGUGCACACCCAACCCCACCCACCCACGGCGAAGGCGCCUAGCGAAUCGAGGGUUUCGUCGUCGAGCGAGCGAGAGCGCGCGAUGGCGGCGGCGGAGGGAGAGAAGAAGGGAGCGAUGGAGGCGGAGAAGGGAGAGAAGGAAGCGAUGGCGGCGGCGAAGGGAGCGCCGGUGGAGGAGAAGGGAAAUGGAGCGGAGGCGCCCGAGGAGGAGGGGACGGGAGAGGCGGCGGUGGAGAAGGGGAAGGCAGUGGCGGAAGCGGAGGAGGCGGCCGGCGCGAAGAUGAUCACCCUGCGGAGCGCGGACGGGGAGGAGCGUUCCAUGUCGGCGGCGGCGGCGAAGCUGUCAGUGGUCCUCAGCAACAUGAUCGAGGACGACUGCGCGUACAACGUCGUCAUCCCGCUCGAACGCUCCACCACCGUCGCGAGGACUCUGGACACGGUGAUCGAGUACUGCGUCAAGCACGCCGACGAGCCCGUCCACGACUCCAACCCCAGCACCGCGGGCGGCAGCAGCAGCGUCGUCGUCACAGCGGUGCCCGAGGACCUGGAGGAGUGGGACCGCAAGCUCGUCGAGGGCCUCAGCGCGGACGACCUGUACGACCUCCUCCUCGCCGCCAACCACCUCAGCAUCCAGGGGCUCAUCGACGUCGUCUGCCAGAGGGCCGCCGACAUGAUCAAGGGCAAGACCACCCAGCAGAUCCGCGACACCUUCAACCUCCCCAACGACCUCACCCCGGCGGACGAGGCGAAGUUGCGCCAGCAGCACGCCUGGGUCAUCGACUAGUAGGAUUCUUCGAACCCACUUUGUGCUCUGCUCUAGCAUCUCACUAGAUCUGCCGGCCUAGCGCGCGGCUCCGUGUUCUACCGCGUCUUUUCUCUUGACGCGCAUCGUAGUGACUGUUUCGUAGUUAUCUUUGUGUAGAACUGUAGAUAGGUCCUGAUCAACACUCGGUCUACCACUUGCUUAGCAUUUUCGUUUCGCCUUGUCGAAGAACAGAAUGGAACGUGUGGUGGAAAUUUGAACUGCUUGCCUGAAGGAUGAAGUGAAUGAAUAUCCUAUCCCGAUUUACCUGUUAUUUUUCGAUUAAUAUCAUGAAAUUGCUAUUAGUUUCUGCCCUGUAUGUGUUCUACCACCAUCGAUCGAUUGUGUUCUACCUAUUGCUACUGAUCUUCUUGCAUGACUGACAUGAUUCUUUUGUUGCCGAAAUGCAUGACAUGUUUUGUUCAGUUCCGUACAAUUGGAAGCAGUAUGAUAGCUCAUCCUCUGCAGUUCUACUUUUAUUUAGUUGCAGUGAAUAUUUUGAACUGCCUGCAUGAACUGACUGAACCAUAUUCCGUGAGUUUCUCUAUGUCUGACCAAUCUGUUCGACUAUUCUUGAGUCUUGAUCGAUCUGCUUGCAUGAAUAUAUAAAAUCCUGAAAUGUGUGCAAUUGGUGGUAGACUGGUAGCAUGGCUGGUGGCUCUGCAACUGGUGCCUCAUCUCUGUAGUGAUCUGCUUGCAUGAAGAUGGAGCAAGUAUUUUACCCUGAAGUUGAUUUUGUUUUUGUCUGAUAACAUUCAGUUCAACAAUAGGAAGGUUGGUCUGUGUCUCUGUCCCUGAUAUUCUGGUACUGAUCUGGCAUGUGGGCCAUACAAGCGUGUAUUGGUUCUCUACAACAGAUUUGAAUGCAACUAACUCGUAGCACUUGAUUACACCACGUCAUGGAUAGCAAUCUUGUCUUGUUCUUAUGUUUAAGUGUAAUUCAAGUUCAGACUAUGCCUGGUUUCUGAGUAUGAAUUGAACUGGGGAAUAGCAUUCCAAUCCCUGAAUGUGUUCUGAAUCUUUCAGUACAUGAGUUGGCAACAGAUCAUAAUAUUGGAAAGUAGUGUGUGUUCCAUUGUGCUGUUUUGGCAUAAUCUUGCCAUGGUGAGGCCGUGAGGUGGAGUAGCUGGCUACAGAAAUUCCUUACAGAAUGACAUGAGAACAGAUAACUGAUUCUGUGUCUUCUCCGUUUUGGAUACUGAACAUGCAGUUUCUUAUUUCUUUCUCGGUUUUUUCCCCCAUCAUCUGGUGUGAAUACACAGCUCCUUGCAGCCUGCAGGAUACUGCUUUCCUAGAGAGGCAGAGCUGAUAGUGCAGAGUUGACAUGGGCUAGCGAAGUCGAGAGAGAGUGCCUAACAAGGCCUGAAAAUGAACAGCCGGCAAGGCAAGGCACAAGCACGGGCGAAGAGGAACAGCAACAGCCUCUCCCAAUUCAAGUCUCACUGAAUUAUGGCACAAUUCGAUGCACAUCACGAGAUUCACAGCAAUCCACAAACGAAAUAAUCAAAUCAUCCAACAAAUCUUCAGAGGUAGUAGUAAGAGAGCAGAGGCGCGGCCACAGCGGCUACGACGGCGAACGCUGAGACCGGCGAUCGGGCUGCCGCCGACUUCGAUGCGCCUGGGCUGCUGGCGGCAGGUGCCGAUCCAGAAGCAGGUGCAGGACCUUCAACAUGGAAGCAGAGCAGUGAGACGACGAAAGAUAAGCGAAUCACGCGCACAGCUUAAAGGACAAAAGGUAAUGCAUACAAGACCCAAGUUUUUCUUCAGUUCAGAACUUGUUUCAGGCGCUAAUUUCAGAUAGCAUUCCGAAUUUGCGGAUGGAAUUUUCAGUGCACAACUGAUGACUCUCCACAUCAUUUACUGAGAUCUAAUAGGCAUGCCAGUUAAGAUGGACCUGAUGGAUACAAAAUUGGCUGACACCUGGCCCAUCUCACUCUCUCCCACACCUAUAUUUUAUUUUGGCCUAGAGACGUUAGUAAUUCAGAUUACGCGUGAGUGUCACUUGCAGAUGACUGUCAGCGUGCCAAGACGAAAACGCAGAGCGUUCAGGCUUCAAAAAUCUGUCUGAUCUAUCAUUGUUCAUGUUUUUUUUAGAAGUUGGGACCAUUUUGCUGCCAAGAAAGCUAACACACUACUGUCACCAUCUAGGCACAAUGCAGCCCUAUUUUAGGCCUAAAUUUUAACAUAUGAUUAUCCCGAUCUUUGGUGUAUAACUCUGUACUGAUACCAAUGAACCGAAAAUUGGCAACGUAGACAUGCUAAAAAAAAUUCAAAAUGGACGCAUCAUUUUGCAAAAACUGUAAAAUAAUAAAAAGAACAGAGUAGUAUCUGUUACCUUCAGUAGGGGCGCCGGGCACUUUGACUGCAAGAAAAUAAUAAUAAAAAUUAAACCAAAAAGCUAAGAUCUGGAAAACUAAUAAAAACCAAAAUACAAUACGCAGAGUUUCACUCAUCACAAAUUAACAUACGAAAAACAAAACUAAAACGAUUUGGCCUACACAUCUUUCUUUUGAAAAAAAUGGGCUCUUGUCUCAAGGGGGGGAAAAAAGAAUAAGACGAGAUCGGGUUGUGUUAGCGCUUACUGUUGCACUUGCUGAAGGCGGCCUGGUCCUCGCCGCACGCGGCGGGCAGCGUGGCGGCGCGGGUCAUGUUGAUCGCGAUGGGGUACUUCUGUUUGAAUGCGGCGCAGAGGCAGGCGACGGUGGCCGGGCUCUUGAGGGCGCCCUUGACGCCGGCGCAGCACUCCAUGGCCGGCUUGCCCUGCGAGCUCCCCUGCUGCACGUACGAGAGGCACGGGAGGAGCCCCGUCACCGCCGCCCCGCAGUCCACCGAUGACGACGGGGCCGGCGCCGGCGCCUGCGACGCCGCGCCGGACGCCAGCGCGAGGACGGCCACCGCCGCGAGCAGGCCGAGGCCGAGGCGCGCCAUGUGGUUGGUUCCUUGGUUGGUGUCGCGACUAGCGGCCGCGCGAGGAGAGGGGAGGCUGGCGCUGGCUGUGGGCUAGGGAAGUGGGAGGGAGGGAGGGAGGAGAGGGGAGGCUGCGCGGCCGCUGCACAUGCUUUGGCAUCUAGCCGGGCGAUAAGCGUAUAAAUUAUCGUGCAGUUCAUUCCUAACGCAUGCUGCCAUUUGUUUGGUUAUCUUGUACAGUAGGAUCAAUCGAAUGCUAGCUGUGAGAUCUCUAUCCAGCUAGCUAAGCUAAGAUCGCUUAAUCAAAUGCAGUUCAUUCCUCUCCCUCUCUCUAUGUCCACGAACUGUAUCCAUAAAACUAUUCAGUGGUCAAUACGCCACAUCGUUCGGAUGCUAAUUAGGAGGAGUAAACAUGAGUUAAUUAUAAAACUAAUUGCAGAAGUCGUGAGCUAAGUCAAAUUAUUAGCAAAUGGUUACUGUAGCACCACAUUGUCAAAUCAUGGACUAAUUAUGCUUAAUAGAUUCAUCUCACGAAUUAGUCUUUGUCCGUGCAAUUAGUUUUGUAAUUAGCUUAUAUUUAAUACUUUUAAUUAGUAUCUAGAUAUCUGAUGUGACAGGUGCUAAAGUUUAGCCUCUGUUACCUAAACAGGGCCGAAGGCUAGAGCUGUAUAACAGUUUGUCUUGUCAGCUGGUCGAGUUGCCAUCGGAGACCAAUCUCGUAAAUAAACACAUAACAAGUAUGCAUGCGUAGAGAGAACAGCAACGGAUACGAAUAGAACUGGAUGCACGUUUACCAUUUUUUCUAUGUACACCUGUUGCGAAGCUGUGUCCUGAUGGAUUCAAACGCUCUGUACGUCUACAGUUGACAUGCAUGCCUUAUCUAUUUGGUACAGGGUCCACACGGCCACACCAAAGUAUCACGCAUAGAACAAUUUCCAACGGUAUCUAUUUUCUCACUGCAAGCAUUCGAUUGAUCCUCGCUUGCACAUGCAGACCGCGCUUAGAAGGAAAAACGUUCAGUUAAAUUUAAAGGAAAACAGUACAAUAUUUCAUUCAAAUAUCCCGUUUACCAGGUUUAUUUUUUAUUUUUUAAUAUAUUUUGGGGGAACAAAAAAAGUAAACGCAUAAAAAUGAUUUUUACCCUCUUCGAUCAUUUUGGAGUUUUCGUAUAAUUCAUUAAUAAUUACUAACAAUAAAAAUUCAAUUUCACUUCCUACAUAGCCCAACGACCUACAAGGUCCAAAAAGGCACAGGCCCAAACUAGCUAGCCUGAUUGCAUGCCCUUUGUUUGUCAAUGUAAAGGCACAUUUUUGUUUGAAAAAACAAAUUUUGAUCAAUAGAUAGUCAAAUUGUAUGCGUCUUCAUUCUUCACUCCCUUCAGUGUACAAAAGUUGCACCAAUUGAUUAUUAUUCGAACUAAAAUGCUAAGAUGAUGUUGAUUUUGUAAAAGUUGACUUUGUAGUUAUGCUAGGCAGAAGGCAUGAAAUAAAAAACCAUGCAUAUUUGGGAAAUUUGCGUCAGAAAAGGCAGUUAACCGAACCAAAUGGAAACGUUGCUUUGUGUCAAUAUCAAGACAAAUUAUCUCUACUGCCAAACUUCCUAAUAAGCUUGUUUCCUGAUCUACAAGAUGGAACUCCAACGAUUAAGAUAUAUUCCAACUAGUUAAACGUUUCACUGUUCAAUCAUUAGAGUAUGCUAUAUAUAAUCGUACAUGCUACCUAGUCAAACAGCCGGCCGGAUGACCGGCUCGCUAGCUAUCUGCCGGCCAUGCACUAGACGCGAUAACCUCAAAGUGCACAUCAAUCACAAUGGUUCUCAGCACCGCAUAUUUAACCAACAAAAGUUGCUUCUGCGCUCCAAGAUGAUACGGCAGCUAGAUAGAUAAGCACCCGCAUGAUGUGCUUCAGCAUUAGGCGGCAACGACGCCUCGAGGAGCGCCGCCGGGAGGAGGAGCUGAGGAGAAAGAAGACGCCAUGCUUCCGGAUCCGGAGGAACUUUGCCGCGAACGAGAUGGCCGAGCGAGAGAGGGCAGCGAUCGCGAGGGACGCCAAGGCGGCGGAGAAGGGGAAGGAGAAGAAGAGGAGGUUACAGGAGGAGGUGAGGAAGGAGCGGGAGAAGAUGAGGAAAGAAGAGGAGGAGAAGAGGGCGCGAGCUGAGAAGAAGAAGCUCAAGGAGAAGGAGCGGAAGAAGCGCGAGGAGGAGGCGAAGAAGAGGCGCGAAAAGGAAGAUACAGAGAAGAAGAGGAAAGAGGAGUUGAAGAGAAACAAGAGGGUGAAGAGAAAAUGAAACCAAGUGCCCACCGUAGCCGUAGCUAUGUUGAAUUUGAACAUUCCUCUCUUCUUAAUUCAGUGCAUGCAUGCAUACGUAUUCAUUGAUUCAGCUUUCAAGCGUAUGCGUUGGUCAUCAGCUCUUUUCAUCGCCGGACGUUGGGGCUCGCGCGUGCGAAUUCACGAUGGCGUUCUUUUCCAACUCAGGAGCCCAUAUAUGAUGGUGCAGAGUCCUCUACGAGCUGGCGCUGGCGAGCUCCUCAUGUCAGCCGCGCAACAGUUGCAACAAGAUACGUUUCAAGCUUUCAGCGGCAAAUUCUAGCUCCAGCUAAUGCAUAUCAUAAGAUGGAUUAUAAGCAGGGGAAAAGCAAUUGUCGUUUUCAUUUUUUUACACAUGGUGGGUUGUUCAGAACGCCAAAGUCAUUUGUGUUCAGUGCAUUGCCCUUGUUGCAAGUUUUUUUUUUCGUGAAUACGAAGGAGAGCUGCGUAUCUUUGUAUUAAGAAGAUGAUGUAAAAACUUAGUAUAACGCGGGCUGUCCGGGCGCACGCACACGGUUAACAAUUUGUUAGCUAUUACAUGAGAGAUCAACAACCGUUUAGAAUAAAAACGAAGCUCAGGAUGACACUAUCCCGUUCCCUGAAUUUCUGCUGGUGCCGGCCAGCCGAGGGUGGCAAGAUGUUUGGCGCCAGCUGCUGACCAAAGAAUGGCUUCCUCGAUGAUCUGUUGUAACAGCUGCGCUGGCUGCAUAGGAGGCGCUCUGCUAAACACCCUGUUGUUGCGCUCUUUCCAAAUCUUCCAGGAUAUAAGCAUUAAGCUGGAGUCAAGUCCUUUCCUCCGUGUAGCGUUUAGGCCGUGUCUCAUCUGAAGCCACCAUUCAGUUAAACUCGUGUCUCGAUUUGGCGCCGGACUGGGAAUGUGCAGGAUGGAACUGACAAGGUACCAUAGCUGUUGUGUGUACGAGCAACGGGCGAACAGGUGGUCAGCGUCUUCUAAUUCCUGAUCACAUAAGGCGCGUGCAGUGCUGUCCUGUAAACCACAACGAUGGCGUCUGGCAGCUGUCCACAGGCGAUCUCUGCAGACUAGCCACAUGAAGAAGCGUACCUUCAUUGGCGCCCAGGCUUUCCAGAUCAACUUACCUGCAGGAGAGGUUUGUGAUCCAAUGAAGAAUGCUCUGUACGCAGAUCUUGCCGAAUAAACACCCGAGGGCUCCCAUCUCCAGGUGAUAACAUCCUCUAAACCAGGCCUUAACCGAAUAUGCUGCAGUUCGUGCCAAAGGUGCACAUACUGAUGGAUGGCCGGCACUGUUAACUAUCCGACAACGUCCGAAAUCCAUUUCUUAUCCUGCAUAGCUUCAGCCACCGAGCGUCUGUUUCUGAGUCUAGGCUUGACGAGGUUGCAAACAUCAGGGGCGAUGGAGCAUGGCGAUGAAUCACCAUUCCAUCUGUCAAUCCAGAAUAAGGCAAGGUUACCAUCCCCCAGCUGCACCUGGAUCGACUUGUUGCAAGUUUUGUAUGCCUGCUCAAACGUGGUGUCCUGCAUUUCUACUGCAAGCCAGUGGAAGUUUCAGUACGUGUACUACUAUAUGACUUACCGCUUACGGAUUGACUAUGCUCUUGGAUGAGAACUGUUUCAGAUUUGAGAAUCCACAGCCAGCUCGUAGCCUCCUACCCUUGGCUGUUGCAGAGUUUUUCGCUGGUUGCUUGAACAGUCGAACGAUAUAUGCUGAUGUAGUGCUAGAAACGAACUAGGAGCAAGAUCGACACGCGUGUUCUGAGGUUUAUGAUUUUUUUUUUAUCUUUUUACUGUCUAACAUUUCAGUGGCCUAAUGUCCCAUGAAAACAAAAAUCUGGCUUUGAAAUUUUUGGAGCACGCAAACGCAAGGCAAAAAACAUAUCAACAGUAACCCGAGAGAAACAGAGAGAGAACCUUUCAUGGAGGAGAGAGCGCUCCUGACUUUGAGCUCGCAUCCCUCGCAGUCCAUCCUGACCUUGAGCUCCACCGUCUGCAGCUGCUUCCUCCUCGUCAUCUUGUCGUGGCCAUGGCCUCCGCUGCCUCCCAGCAGCCCCGACAGGUACUCCAAGGUGCCCCCCAUGGGAACUCAUAGGAACUCACUCUGCAACUCUGCAAGAGCAAGGCACACACCACUACCAGCAAGAAGCUCGAUCUCAAGAAUCAAGUCAAGAACUGCAGAGCACGCGCGCGCGCGCGCGCGCGCACACACACACACACACACAGAGAGAGAGAGAGACCUGGAAGCUACAGUCUAUCCCUAUGGCCUCUGCCUGUCACUGAUCUGUCUGAGCUGCUCAGCUGCAUGCCAACCCUACUAGCUGUGUGCAGGCAGGGCACUCUCUCCUGUCCAACAGGCCUUUAGGAAAAGCAGAUGGGCAGGGGCAAAUGCAGAAAGCUACCAAGAAACACGCACCAAGGGAACGUUCGUUGUUGGGUCAGGCCGGUGAUCUCUGGACCACGCCCCGCAUUGUAAAAUCGGUCAUUCAGGUGUUUUUUUUCCUUUUCCUUUUGAAAUGAACAGCGUUCAGGUGAGGGGGAGCAACCAUCCAAACAAGAAAUGCACUCUUUGGUAAGUGUCACACACAUAUGCUGCGAAUCAAAUACCUGCACAACGGCUGUAACUUGGAUCAGUUAAAACGGCGAGCGAUCAAAUUCCGACAAGCUGAAUGAACAUCUGGCCUAGGUAGGGGACGCCAACCAACCGUGAUGGCGACACAAGCUAAGAUCAUCGUGCCCACCAAGAGAUCUCUCGCAUUGCAAUUGUCGUUGGGCUUGGACGUUGGACCCCCCAACAAUACAUGGUGGAAUUUUACAUCAGCGGUAGGAAUUAUUAGAAGAAACCGCUGCCAUCACGACGCACCAAAAGAAAAACAAUCUGUGGGAAAUUAACGGUGGCUGAUUCAGUGAAGGAAGAGUAGCUGAGUAGGAACAGAAAGAGGAUGGACUGGUGUGCAUAUAUUUUCUUGAGGCGAAAGAUGAUCGAAUCUUAAUCGAUUUUAACUCCUACUUAUAUCCGGCGGUCAAAGGAGGAAGGUAACCAGGUAAGGCAAAUUCUCCAUGAUUUUGCAAGUGUUUUAUUCAAAUUUAUACGAUUUAUUAGUUCAUGUCUCUUUACUUCGCAGAUGAUUCAUAAAUUGAGCAUGGCAGAACCAUGCCUGUUUGACGGUGGCUGACUUGGUCAGACAACUGUUGUGUCAAUUUUCAAGUGUUGUUAACUGAUGAUGCCAGUUCUUAUACAUAAAACGAAGUAUUCUUUGGCUAUAAAAUUUGUUUCAAAUGAAAACAUCAGAAAAACAAAUGCAAAACAUAAGUUCCGUUCAGGAAAAAGUGUAUGAAAACAUCACUUCUGUUCGAAAAAGAGCGAACGCAUGGGCAGAAAUAUUCGAAUCCCAUCUUCGGUAAAGUAGGUACAAGCAAAAUCAAUCAGCCAGCAUUGACCUCAGUAGUCGAAAAUUUCUAGUGGUCACGGAACCACUAAUGGUGAUCAUCAAUACGUUGGAGAUGUCUGUGUGCCCACUGUCCAGUGCUCAUCAACAGCUGAACAGCAAUUGCAGUUGUUGCAACUUGAAAGCUCCAUCGAAGUACAAGUACAAAACAACAUUACAAGCAACUACAUCACGAAGUCGAUACCAUAAACUGUCAGGUAUGUCAUAGUCAAGCUCCAACAAGAAGGCCACCAGAGGUAAAUAACGAUGAAACGCUAUUCCACGGCAAAAACACAGCAUUAAUCAAACAGCAACCCUAUUUUUAACAGUCCUCAGCCAGAAGAGUUAACAUAUAACAAAAGAUUGGCUUGCAACAUUGCAUUCCUAUGGCCUAUGGCUUUCAGAAGCACUUAAUUGAUCAACAAUACUAUGCUUGAAGUACUACUACAUCCACACAUGGUUACACUGGUAAAUAAGGAACUGACAAGUUUGUACCAGAGGUGAAUCCUCAGAGCUUCAAAGGCAAGCUAUACGGUCAGUGUCAUAGAUCACAGCUGCUAGUGCACGUUACAAACCACUCAAAACUUUCUUUUCUUGUGAACAGGCAAAAUGUCCGUGUCAUUGAAUUAAGAGAGAACACGGUGCCGCGGCGCACCUAGGGCAGCUCAUGCUAGGCGGGGUACAGACAUGAAAACUUGCAACGAAACAUAUCAAAGCCUACUACAGAAGAUAACAACAAAUUAAAUGAUGCAAAAUAGGCCAGUUUUCCCCCUACUUCCAAGAAUUGACUUCUAUAAAUUCUACAUUACAGUUGAGAACUGGCAGAUCAAAUAUGGCUGCGGAGAUGAUUGCUGAUAUUCACGCACCAAAUCUACCUUCAGCAUGUGAUGUUUUCUAGCUUAUAAAGCAUGCAGUGAGAAUUUACAAGCGAUACCACAUGAUUUAACUUUUCCAUUUUAUUCACAAAAUACAUAUACCAAGAGUUUUAUUUGCAUAAAUAUUACUCAUGCAACCAAUUGAAUCAAAUACAUAGACGCCUACAACUCUCAUCAAGGGAAAUUAAAACAACUUGGAAAAUGUGUUUGGUUAGCCAUUUCCCAACUACAAAAAGAAUCACCUCAGCAAUUGAUUUUGAACAAGAACCUUGCAGGCCAGUAUUCUAUAAUUCUGUCAUAAACCAUCCAGGAAUAAUCAUCAUGUGAUUAAACAAAAGCGAACCAUGAAAGGUCAGUACCGUCACACAGCAGCACCUUCAUCAAUUACUACAGCACCAUAAUGAUCGAUGUCUCCAUUCUCACCUUUACCAAAUACAAAACCUUCAUGUAAUCUUUGGACAGAAUUUUUCAAAAACUGUUAUGAAACUAUAAACUUCUGGUGCACCCAUGGUAUCAGAUAUCUUCAACUCAAUGCACCAGUUGUAUGUCAUAAAGAUGACUUCAUUCUUUAUACCUUCAACCCCAAAGGGCCAAACAAAGUCAGCUAACCAGACCACGUCACAGAUGCCAAAGAACAAUUGAACAUGUGAAUGUCGAAAAUCACAAUUCAUUUCAAGCUAACCUUUGAACAACUGUUUUCAUCAUCAGGCUAACCUUAAACAAUCGUUUUCAAACAACACAUGAAAUGGACGGAACCUAUGACGGGUACCUGACAGAACAUAAGCUUUACCUUUAAUAAUACAAUCACAAAUAGUGUCAUGCACCAAAACAAAGAGAAUGGAGGCAUUUCACUUGAGCACCACUCGAAAUGAACAAAUAAUUCAAACUAGCAUAUUCUAGUCACCUUAUACAGUAACACCAACAACAACUACACAAGGCUGGCUGUUCAAACCAAUCCAGGCUAGUAAUAUAAAGCAUAGUGCAGGAAGAACUUAUGGUGUGAUUCCGGAAAAAUCUAUCACUCAUAUCAGUGAUUAAGCUUGAGGUUGGACAAAAGCUACAAGAACGCAAUACCCCUGCCCGACCGCUGCAAUCCCAUCAAAUUCCAAUUCGAAACAAAUAAGGCGCACGCGUACGUUGCAUCGUCUAAGAACACUAGGAACAAAAGAGGGGACACCUUGGUGGGAUCACUCGAGUGCUACGGCGGCGCCGGCGGCCUUGAGCUUGGCCGCGAGCGCCUCGGCCUCCUCCUUGGGCAACCCCGUGCGAACCACGACGGGCGCCUUCUCCACCAGCUCCUUCGCCUCCUUCAGACCCAGGUCCGUCACCGCGCGCACCUCCUUGAUGAUCUUGAUCUUCGCCGCGGCCUCGUACUUCUCGAUCUUCACGUCGAACGCCGUCUUCACCGCCGCGGCGGCCUCCUCGGCUCCCGCGGAAGCGUCCCCGGCCCCGGCCGGAGAGGCGCCGAGAGGCGGAGCUUGAGGCGCAGGAGUGCGGCGUAGUCGUCCAGCUCGGCUGGGGAGAGGGCGAGGAGCUUGUCCGCGAUCCGCGACAGCUUAGGGUCCUCGCCGGCGGCGGAGGCGGGGGACCAGUUGUGCCAAUUUGGAGAAGAAGAGUGGCAUUUUGGUAAUUACUGGGAAUCACGUGGGGGGUUGUUUACCGUCCGGGGAACGUUGUGCAAACCAUCUACCCUGUACAAUGUUGGAAACUAUAAAUCAAGAUCACAAGAUGUUAAUCCAAUAAAUAGGAUUAGAAGUGAGAUUAUUUUGCGCUUAAACCUCCCACCCACCGGCCAACCAAUACCCCGGCCUCCAUUUCCCCUACCCCUUCACCCCUAACCCCCUUGCCCCUUGCCCCAUCGCGAGUAGCCCGCCGCCGCUCUUGAGAAUCGCGUAAUCCAUCACCGUCCGUCCGUCCUUGGUGCGUCGCCGUCCUAGUGUGCUCGCCGCCGCCCCGCCGCCCGUGGCCCUCCGCUUCCCUGGUGAGGGCGCCGCCGCCCACUGCCCACCUUUUACUCACGAUGGAAGGGUAGGGAAAAUGGAUGCUUGGCUGCACGGGGUAUUGGAAAUAGUGGCCGGCGGGUGGGGGAGCUUAAGCGCAAAAUAAUCUUAUCUCUAAACCUAUCUAUUGGAUUAGCAUCUUGUGGUCUUGAUUCAUAGUUUCAAGGUUGCACAGGGUAGAUGGUUUACACCAGAUACAUUCCGUUUCAAGCCCGUUUGGAAGACGGGGCUUAUAAGAGGACAAGAGAUGCCAAGUUUCAAAUACGCUUACUAACAGUGAAAGCGUAUUCCAUUUUGCCCGUCACGGCCGGAGGCGUUCACACUGAUGCGCAUGCGUGCUCCCCACUUGUCAGAGGGUAACCCCUUGCCNNNNNNNNNNNNNNNNNNNNNNNNNNNNNNNNNNNNNNNNNNNNNNNNNNNNNNNNNNNNNNNNNNNNNNNNNNNNNNNNNNNNNNNNNNNNNNNNNNNNCAUUUUUCUUAGAUAGGAUCGGGCUUUUCACCGAAUCUCCGUUUAUUGCGUACAGAAAAAGAGAACAAUAGCUUGUCAGUUCCAUCCCGCUCAUCCCCUCUCUGGAGUGAGAAGGACCAGCGAGUGUCCCUGAGCAGCUGACGACGGUACAAUCGGAUUGCUUCCGUGGACCAAAGCAUCCGGGCGACUCCACGAUGGUGCAUUUCUCCCCACGAAUCUGGAUCAGGCUGAACAGGAAGUAUUUUAACUCCGCCCCCCCCCCCCCCCCCCCCCCCCCCCACCGCCACUAGCUUUUUGAUUACUGGGCGCCACACCCGGUGCAAGCGCAAACAGAACGCCUUCUGUUCUUGCUGUCGCUCUCCCCCGGGGCAAAGCAUAAACCUCAGUGGCCUCGUAGAAAUCGAAAUCGGAUCGGAUCCGACGCGAGUGGUCGCGCGGAUUCACGAGCGCGCGACGGCUCGAUUAUUCUCUCGCAGUCCCCGAUCCCCCAUCCUCGUUGCUGUUUUUUUUGCUUUUGGGAUUUUUCCGGAAUUUUUUCGGUGUUUUUUUGGUUGUUUCGUUUCAGAAUUUUUUUGUGAGCAUGAAACCGGUAGCCCUCCUUGUUAUCAACAGCCAUUUGAGAAGUUGAAAUCUUAUGUUCUUGGGUUGUAGAGAUUAUUUACUAUAACGCAUUCCAAAAAAAUUCUGAUAUUGGCUCAGAACUAGUGAAACUUAAGUUCAGUAUUGUUUCAGGUACAUGCUACAUUUCAUCAAUAUUGCAGUUCAUAUCCUAUCUGCACCUGCUCUUCAUGUAUCAGGCUUUAAGGUAAGAUCCAAUUCACUGCCUGAAUCCUGCAUUGGAGUAAUUGCAAUACCAGAUUAGGAAACAUCAAUUGCUUAGUCCUGUCAGUUUAAUAGCACGUAUCUUCACCUGUCCUUUUUAUGUAAAUAGUGUGCAUGUGUAUUCUGCAAGUUGUACAGGUUUAGAUGUGUUGUGCAUGAGUAGCACCUUGAAGGCUACCAAGUUGGUUCAUUGGCUAACAUAUUUGUAACGUGAUGUAUUAGGGUUCAUGCUCACAAAUUUGGCAGCGAAGUUCUUACUGGAGUACACGACAGUCCCAGAGGUAUUGUAUCUAGUAAAAGCAGCAGCUCUCUAUCGUGAACAUAUAAGACCUUUACUAACAUGACAUUUUUCCUUCUUUUCAGCAAAGUUUACCCACUUUUCAUACCUAGGAAAAAUGUAUGCACAGGUGGUGAGGAAAGUUCAUUGACAGAAAGUGGCCCGGCUAACUUUGGUGUCGACUCUAUCGAUUCUGUCAAGAAACACUCUUUUGAUUCGAAGAGAAGCAAUAGCUUCAACUUUUCUGGUGCAUCUUCCCACUCCAUGGAAAAGCAUCAAUAUUUGCAAAGAGGAAUAUCACUAUUAAAGACAAGUGUUACUGCCAUUACUACCUACUAUUAUAACUCACUGGGCUUGGAUGUGCCAUCCAAUCUAUCUACUUUUGAGGCGUUUGCAAAGUUGCUCCAUAUGUUAUCGUCGUCAAAGGCCCUUCGAGCUGCUCUAGAAUCGAACAUUGCUUCAAGGUAGCGUAUGCUGUUUCAUAGUAAUGCAUUCUGUGAUCCCAUAUCCUUGGUUGUCGAAAGGGGGUAAAAAAAACUGACUAUGUCUGCUGCUUCCAGGUCAGAGAAGCAAGCACAGCAGCUAAACAAAUCUAUUUGGAAGGCAAGCUCGGCCAUAUCAUCUGACAGCAGUUUUAUGGACAGCAUUCACACAACCAUCAUGGUAAAUUCCUAGUUUGCUCUUACCGUCUUACGUACAUUUUUGCAUGUAAACUUCAAUUUGAUUUUGAUAGUAUCUGUCUUCUUACCAGCCAAGCACUCUGGAUAACCUCCUUCUGAACUCAAAUAAGAGCUUCUUGUACACCAGUAAGCUGGUGAAGCACGGUGGCGUGCCAGACAACAUCUUGGAUGAGGUCCUACCGCCACCGCCCUCGGAGGUUGAAAAUGUCGCGCAGUGUGAAAGAGCCAUGUAUGCUGAUGGUGGUACCAAAAAGAAAUGACUUAUAUUUACAACUCUCUGAAGACCAAACUGAUACAGCACUGCAAGAGCUUCAGUUAGAUAUGUGCACCUGACCAGGUUCGGGUUCAGUACUGAACGAAGCUCACCGUGUGGCUGAGUCAUCCACACUGUAGACUGCAGAAGGGCAUUUUAGGAUAGGGUUGAUCUGCUGAAUAUGUACAUGUUCAUCCCUGUAAAUUGUAAAUAUAAGUUUAUAUCGUUUAUUACAAAGGUAAUAAAAUGCCUGAUUGUUGGUUGAUAUUUCUUCCUGCAAGUGAAAAGCAAUUCUUUUACAUAUGCUGCAAGAAUGCAUCGGUGCAACCAACACAUGAACAGAAAAGAAGUGAAAUUCAGUAACAUUUUGUGGAGGCCAGUAAAGCACCAAUUGCUUAUGCACUGCAAAGAGCGGAUCACAAAUAUUAUUUUUCCUUGAAGAUUUAUGUAUUCCUUUGUCUUAUAGCACAACCCAGUAUUUAGCGGAUUCUCCAUGCAUAAAUAUGUGGCAUUGCAAAUGAAUUUUCUUAUCCUGAGCUGCAGUUGUAUAGUUUGUGUGUAAUCUAGCGCCGCAGUGGUAGUGCAUCAGAGUUUCUCGCCUUGUGGUGGAUUAAUGAUCAGAUUCUUCCAUUCAUGUUUUAACCUACAUAAAUGCCUUAAGUAUCUUGUUAAAGCCUACUGCCUGGAGAAUAUGCACUAGUAUAUAAACUGAAGACUAAUCAAAAUACUCCGGGCAAGUGAAGUCUGUGGCUAGCUGUGGUUUACCGACAGCUAAACCAAUCAAUUAGGGGCAGGAAUUAGUGUCAUAGGAAUAUAGGUGCGGCUACCUUUUUGUGGAUUGAUGCUAUUUCUCACACAGUAAGUGAAUAAAAAAUAUCUUCGUUUAUUCCAUCUGAUUAUGCCAUUCCAUUACAGUUUAUGAUGGCAAGGGAACCCUUGAGGAAGGGGAAACUGCUGAAGCCCGGUUCAUCAAAAUCCAAGCAGCAUAUGAGCUGUUGAUUGAUGAUGAAAGGAGAAGAGCAUAUGAUAGAGAGCAUCAUGUGAAUCCAAUGAAGGUCUGAAUUUCCUUGCCUCACUUAUUUAUCCUUUCAUUACAUGCUCCUAUCAUUUCGUGUUCGAGAAAAUUUUUCUUUGUGUUCGAGAAGAAAAUAUACCAUGUUGUUUGAAAGUGGCAUUCCUGCUGUUCUGAAAACCGUCCUCUCUUUGAACCAGGCUUCUCAAGCAUGGAUGGAGUGGGUAAUGAAGAAGCGAAAAGCUUUCGACCAACGUGGUGACAUGGCUGUGGCUGCCUGGGCUGAGCAGCAGCAACGCGAAAUGACACUACGAGCACGGCCUCUUACGCUCAAAGGUGAGCACGGCCGCUGUUUCUGCUCGUCUGCUCCUGUGCGAUACUAGUUAUGCUUUGCAUGCCAUACGAUAAUUGCUUGAUCCCUAGCAUUUUUUUUAGAACGUUGACUAGUUCUUGGCACUUGCAAUUGCUUGAUCCUUAGGAAUUUUUUAGAACAUCGAUGAGUUCUCAAGCAUCACAAGAUCGCAGAAGUCCCAGUCUUUACGCACCCAAGGUAAAACAAAAGCAGCAAUGUGAUGCUUAUCGACGGGCCAUGGGGGUGCCGUCGUAGUCGAACCACAAGGAACAACGAUCUGCUUCCCCUCGCGGCGAGCACCGACCCGGGUUCGUCUGGCAGAGGUAGCGGCCAUCGAUUUCAGACCGAGACACAUAUCCCUUCUCGGAUACUAGUAGCUUUCCGUUUUUGGAUGUACGGCUCCGCGGGCACGCAACCCUCGGCUGUUGUUUUCUCUUUCCGCGCAUUUUCUUUACCACGCGCCAUGAGCUUCGUCCAGCGUCCCAUAGACCUAUUUUCUUUAUUUUUGUUGAAUUCUCUUUUGCUGGCAAAUCAUUUGGGGGUUGGGUGAGGGGGAGUAAAAUUGGGUGGUAAAAGCUAGUUUCAACAAGAAAAUAUAUAUACUUAUAUACAAAAAUUACUCAGAAAAGCAUUCAAGCUAACAAAAAAUGUAUAUCCAAGUUGUUAUAUAUAACUUUGAACCUUCUUUCUCUUUCAUAAAAUACUGAUCUCAAUUCUUGCUCGACCUGGGCAUAGGCACCUGUCAUUUCAAAUUCGCCCUGCAAAUUACGAUCAGUAGGCAGUAGUUGUAUAUAAUAUAUGAAAAAAUAGUCAUGUAAAGUUAUAUCCCUAAGUUUGACAUACCCAAUAACUUAUGCACAUAAAUAUAUAUAAAAAAAUCACUUGCCUCACUUAAUGAAAUAAUCAAAAUUUAUCCCAUACCUUAUGCACAAAAUAUAUAAAACAAUUCUCUCAAUUUAACUUAUUGACGUGAACAGAAUUUAUCUACAUAACUUAUGCACACAAAAAAUAUGCAAUAAUCUCUCGACAUAACUUGUUGAUAUGAGCAAAAUUUAUCUGCCUAUCUUAUGCAAAAAAAAAAAUAUGUGUAAUAAUCUUUAAGCCUAACUUUUUAACAUGAUAAAAAUAUGUCAAAAAUGUUGUGAAAACAACCAUUCUUACGCAAACUUAUCAACAUGACUAAUAAUUUAUAUGUAUUACUUAUACGCAAAAAAAUAUAAAAUUAUCUAUUUCCAUAACUUGUCAACAUAUACAAAAUUAUGAGCACGACUUAUGCGCAAAAAUAUGUAUAUCCAAUAGUUUUCUCUCAUCCUUAUUGAUAUGGUGCAAUUUAUCCACAUAAUUUAUCACAAAAAGUUAUAUGCAAUUAUUUAACAACAUAAAACAAAAUCUUGAGGCCAAAACUUACCUAAAUUGCUAUGAAACAAUGUUAUUAUGUUACUGACGCAGCUUAUGUAUAGGGUUUAGGGUGCACACGACGAAAUCGCUUUUGCCAAAUUCAGUUUGCAAAGUGCUCCCCUGAAGCACAUGGCCCGUCCAGGCGUCCAGCCGUGCACCCGCUUCCAGCGAUGCGGCACCCCCUUGAGCCCACGCGGCCUGUGAGUUCUGCCGCGUGCGAUGCGCACACAGCACAAAUGUCCAGUCCGCAGUCCCACAUCCAUCCCCGGAAAUCCCACGGCAGCAGCCCGCAACCCCGCCGCGCACGCGCUCGGUGCUUCACACCACCGACAUCUCCCCGCAGCUGGAUUGGAUUACAUGCAUGCCACUGCCAGCACGAGACCGCCGCUGCUACCUCCCACCGCGAUCCCCGCCCCCGCGCGUCGCUGACCACUGACCCCACCCCCACCUGGUUCCACGCGCUAUUGACCUAUGUGCGUGCGGGUGGACGCGCCUUAUUUUUAGGAGCGAGUGCCCACCGAAAACAGGCCAUGGCACCGGCACGGCAGAUCCUUUCUCCAUCCGCCGGUGAAACUGAAAGGAAUCCCCUCACGCCCCCUUCGCCAUCUAUAGCUCAAGCCCCACCUCCCGAUCUCCGGUCCCCCGCCCAUUAACGGCCCGGCACACCCCACGCCCGUUCCAUCUCCGCCCCCAUCCCAUUCCACCCCACCCCACCUCCCGCGCCCAUCCAUGUCACCAGCGCCGCUGCUGCCGUUGGCGGGGGAGCCAUUCCGCGUGUUCAUGGGGUACGACCCGCGGUGUUCAUGCAAAGAUCAACACAAGAACUAGGAGAAGUGCUGCAAAGGGAUCACCAACCUUUCAGUGCAGAGCGUCAACGAAAGUCGACGCCAGCGUCCGGCUUGAGCUUGACGAGAACCCUGAGGCGAUCAUCUCAGGCGAGUGGCCUGAGAACCCCUUCCUUCUCAGCUACGAUGAUCUCCGUGCCUACCUUGAGUCACAGGAGGCUGUCCAAGAAGGAGAUCAGGUACUUGAUCUGGAAUUCUUAAAGCUGUCAUUGUUAUCUGUCUUGAUCUCCUUCAGCUCUAGCUGAACUCUGA
rnacentral:lncRNA from 1 species